UCCUCUUCUCCUUCCCCAAUCCAAUGGUGGCAGAGGUGGGCGGACUUGGCGAGCGGUAGGAGCGGAAGCAACUUGCGGCGCAUCUGGAGGAACUCCGGGAGCUCUGAUGGCGGCGGCGGUCGGACUGGACUGUGGCGGCAGCGAGCAGACGGGAACGGCUGGUCGUCUCGUGGACGGCGGCGGUGGACUGCCGAUGGCUGCAGCGGGCUUAGUCGUCCAGCAGAUUCAGCCACAGGGAAAGCAAUCCCCAUUGGUACUCGUGAACUCCAUGGCUACCAUAGGAUGUGAUUCGUUUUGCUAAGAUGAGUUGGCAGCACUUUAAUGGACCUGGCCGGUGAUUUACGAUGUUUGCGUUUGGGUGGCCCAAGAUUUCUAUGAUGUUGUUGAUAACGACCAACAUCGGUGCAGGAGGAUUCAGUGCUUAUCUCUUAU